rnacentral:lncRNA from 1 species
CUGACACUUGUUUUGCCUCUAUAUUUUAAUUCCUAUGAUUUUGCAAAGCAAGUAUUGUUACCCUCAGUUUGCAGAUUUUGCAUUUGUACACCUGGAAUCCUCUAUAGUUUUUUGAUGAUUUGAAGACAGAUUUAAGGAGCUAAAAAGGAAUCAAAAGUAUAGUGUUACUUUUCUUAAUGGUCAAACCAGAAUAAAGAACAUGGCUGGCUGGACUUCCUAUGUCCCUCUAUGAAUAUAGAUGGCAGGUCCUCGAGGUACUUUUAUGAGUAGACAGAGAGGCUGGAACUACAGUAGGGACACCUGG